rnacentral:rRNA from 1 species
CAGGACGAACGCUGGCGGCGUGCCUAACACAUGCAAGUCGAGCGGGGACAUUGCGACGGAGACGAAGUACUCGUACGGAGUCAAAGAUGUAAUGUUCUAGCGGCGGGACGGGUGAGUAACGCGUGAGCAACCUGUCCCUUACAGGGGGAUAACACAGCGAAAGUUGUACUAAUACCGCAUAAGACCACAGAGUGACAUCGCUCAGGGGUCAAAGGAGCAAUCCGGUAAGGGGUGGGCUCGCGUCCGAUUAGAUAGUUGGUGAGGUAACGGCCCACCAAGUCGACGAUCGGUAGCCGACCUGAGAGGGUGGUCGGCCACAUUGGGACUGAGACACGGCCCAAACUCCUACGGGAGGCAGCAGUGGGGAAUAUUGGGCAAUGGGGGAAACCCUGACCCAGCAACGCCGCGUGAGGGAAGAAGGUCUUCGGAUUGUAAAGUUCUUUUAUUAGUGACGAACGCAAUGACGGUAGCUAAUGAAUAAGCCCCGGCUAACUACGUGCCAGCCGCCGC